rnacentral:lncRNA from 1 species
UAACAAUAACAUUUUCAUAAUUCUCAUAAUUCAAUCAAAUUUCAUGGGUUUAACAACAGCAUUUUCAUCAUUCACACAAUUCAAUCAAAAAUUCAUGGGUUUAGUAUCUACCUUUUCAUCAUUCACACCAUUCAAUCAAAUUUCACGGGUUUAACAUCAACAUUUUCAUCAUUCACACAAUUCAAUCAAAUUUCAUGGCUUUAACAACAACAUUUUCAUCAUUCACACAAUUAUGAAUCAAAUUUCAUGGGUUUAAAAUCAACAUUUUCAUCAUUCACACAAUUCAAUCAAAUUUCAUAGGUUUAACAUCAACAUUUUCAUCAUUCACACAUUCAAUCCAAUUUCCUGGGAUUAACAACAGCAUUUUCAUCUUUCACACAAUUCAAUCAAAUUUCAUAGGUUUAACAUCUACCUUUUCAUCAUUCACACAAUUCAAUCAAAUUUCAUGGCUUUAACAACAACAUUUUCAUCAUUCACACAAUGCAAUCAAAUUUCAUAGGGUUAACAUCUACCUUUUCAUCAUUCACACCAUUCAAUCAAAUAUCAUGUCUUUAAGAACAACAUUUUCAUCAUUCACACAAUGCAAUCAAAUUUCAACGGUUUAACAUCUUCCUUUUCAUCAUUCACACCAUUCAAUCAAAUAUCACGGGUUUAUCAUCAAGAUUUUCAUCAUUCACACAAUUCAAUCAAAUUUCUUUGCAUUAACAACAACAUUUUCAUCAUUCACACAAUUCAAUCAAAUUUCAUAGGUUUAACAACAACAUUUUCAUCAUUUACACAAUUCAAUCAAAUUCCAUGGGUUUAACAAUAACAUUUCAAUCAUUCACACAAUUCAAUCAAAUUCCAUGUGUUUAACAAUAACAUUUUCAUCAUUCUCAUAAUUCAAUCAAAUUUCAUGGGUUUAACAACAGCAUUUUCAUCAUUCACACAAUUCAAUCAUAAAUUCAGGGGUUUAAUAUCUACCUUUUCAUCAUUCACACCAUUCAAUCAAAUUUCAUGGGUUUAACAUCAACAUUUUCAUCAUUCACAAUAUUCAAUCAAAUUUCAUGGCUUUAGC